CGGGGAGGUAGUGACGAAAAAUAACGAUACGGGACUCAUCCGAGGCCCCGUAAUCGGAAUGAGUACACUUUAAAUCCUUUAACGAGGACCAAUUGGAGGGCAAGUCUGGUGCCAGCAGCCGCGGUAAUUCCAGCUCCAAUAGCGUAUAUUAAAGUUGUUGCGGUUAAAAAGCUCGUAGUUGAAUCUGUGUGUCACAGUGUCGGUUCACCGCUCGCGGUGUUUAACUGGCAUUAUGUGGUACGUCCUACCGGUGGGCUUAGCUCCUCCCGGGCGGUCCAACUAAUAUCCCAUCGCGGUGCUCUUCAUUGAGUGUCGAGGUGGGCCGGUACGUUUACUUUGAACAAAUUAGAGUGCUCAAAGCAGGCUACCUUCGCCUGAAUACUGUGUGCAUGGAAUAAUGGAAUAGGACCUCGGUUCUAUUUUGUUGGUUUUCGGAACCCCGAGGUAAUGAUUAAUAGGGACAGAUGGGGGCAUUCGUAUUGCGACGUUAGAGGUGAAAUUCUUGGAUCGUCGCAAGACGGACAGAAGCGAAAGCAUUUGCCAAAAAUGUUUUCAUUAAUCAAGAACGAAAGUUAGAGGUUCGAAGGCGAUCAGAUACCGCCCUAGUUCUAACCAUAAACGAUGCCAGCUAGCGAUCCGCCGAAGUUCCUCCGAUGACUCGGCGGGCAGCUUCCGGGAAACCAAAGCUUUUGGGUUCCGGGGGAAGUAUGGUUGCAAAGCUGAAACUUAAAGGAAUUGACGGAAGGGCACCACCAGGAGUGGAGCCUGCGGCUUAAUUUGACUC
rnacentral:rRNA from 1 species